CCUGUUCUCCACUUAGAACUAUAUCAGGAAUUACCUCUCCUGUUGUGGGUUCCAGAACUUGCUGCUCCAAGAUGCAUUUCUACACACCGUUAAU